rnacentral:rRNA from 1 species
CAUGUCCUACGGGAGGCAGCAGUGGGGAGUAUUGCACAAUGGGGGAAACCCUGAUGCAGCGACGCCGCGUGAGCGAAGAAGUAAUUCGUUACGUAAAGCUCUCUCAGCAGGGAAGAAAAUGACGGUACCUGAGUAAGAAGCCCCGGCUAACUACGUGCCAGCAGCCGCGGUAAUACGUAGGGGGCAAGCGUUAUUCGGAUUUACUGGGUGUAAAGUGAGCGUAGACGGCGCGGCAAGUCUGAAGUGAAA